GGUGUUACUGCGAAGGGGGGACGGAGAAGGCUAUGUUGGCCGGGCGACGGUUGUCCCGGUUUAAGCGUGUAGGUGUGUGUUCCAGGUAAAUCCGGUUCACUUUAACACUGAGGCGUGACGACGAGGCACUACGGUGCUGAAGCAACAAAUGCCCUGCUUCCAGGAAAAGCCUCUAAGCAUCAGGUAACAUCAAAUCGUACCCCAAACCGACACAGGUGGUCAGGUAGAGAAUACCAAGGCGCUUGAGAGAACUCGGGUGAAGGAACUAGGCAAAAUGGUGCCGUAACUUCGGGAGAAGGCACGCUGACACGUAGGUGAAGUGAUUUACUCAUGGAGCUGAAGUCAGUCGAAGAUACCAGCUGGCUGCAACUGUUUAUUAAAAACACAGCACUGUGCAAACACGAAAGUGGACGUAUACGGUGUGACGCCUGCCCGGUGCCGGAAGGUUAAUUGAUGGGGUCAGCGCAAGCGAAGCUCCUGAUCGAAGCCCCGGUAAACGGCGGCCGUAACUAUAACGGUCCUAAGGUAGCGAAAUUCCUUGUCGGGUAAGUUCCGACCUGCACGAAUGGCGUAAUGAUGGCCAGGCUGUCUCCACCCGAGACUCAGUGAAAUUGAACUCGCUGUGAAGAUGCAGUGUACCCGCGGCAAGACGGAAAGACCCCGUGAACCUUUACUAUAGCUUGACACUGAACAUUGAGCCUUGAUGUGUAGGAUAGGUGGGAGGCUUUGAAGUGUGGACGCCAGUCUGCAUGGAGCCGACCUUGAAAUACCACCCUUUAAUGUUUGAUGUUCUAACGUGGACCCGUUACCCGGGUUGCGGACAGUGUCUGGUGGGUAGUUUGACUGGGGCGGUCUCCUCCUAAAGAGUAACGGAGGAGCACGAAGGUUGGCUAAUCCUGGUCGGACAUCAGGAGGUUAGUGCAAUGGCAUAAGCCAGCUUGACUGCGAGCGUGACGGCGCGAGCAGGUGCGAAAGCAGGUCAUAGUGAUCCGGUGGUUCUGAAUGGAAGGGCCAUCGCUCAACGGAUAAAAGGUACUCCGGGGAUAACAGGCUGAUACCGCCCAAGAGUUCAUAUCGACGGCGGUGUUUGGCACCUCGAUGUCGGCUCAUCACAUCCUGGGGCUGAAGUAGGUCCCAAGGGUAUGGCUGUUCGCCAUUUAAAGUGGUACGCGAGCUGGGUUUAGAACGUCGUGAGACAGUUCGGUCCCUAUCUGCCGUGGGCGCUGGAGAACUGAGGGGGGCUGCUCCUAGUACGAGAGGACCGGAGUGGACGCAUCACUGGUGUUCGGGUUGUCAUGCCAAUGGCACUGCCCGGUAGCUAAAUGCGGAAGAGAUAAGUGCUGAAAGCAUCUAAGCACGAAACUUGCCCCGAG
rnacentral:rRNA from 2 species